rnacentral:lncRNA from 1 species
UCCUGAUAGUAUCCCAAAUUCAUCGACCAAGAAGGUUGAUAAGGUUCGACUGGACUGUCAGAUACAUAUGCAUAGGGCUGUAUCUCACAUGACUGCGUUGACAUCUCCGAAUUAUCAAUAUGGUUGGUAUAUGUUGAGAAAUUCUAUAUAAGGAUCAUGGUGCUCAUCUCCUCCAGCUCCAGGUCCAGCUCCCCCUGCCCCUGCGCCUGAUCCCCACCGUUGUCUGGGCCGCAAUCCU